UCGCGAAUUUUUCUCAAUGGGCGCAAGCCUGAAGAAGCCAUGCCGCGUGCGGGAUGAAGGCCCUCUGGGUUGUAAACCGCUGUCAGGGGAGGGGAAACGUCGAUCAUUAACAGUGGUCGAUUUGACUGCUCUCUAAAGGAAGCCCCGGCAAAACAUGUGCCAGCAGCCGCGGUAAUACAUGUGGGGCAAGCGUUGUUCGGAAUCACUGGGCAUAAAGGGUGCGUAGGCGGUGUUACACGUCCGGGGUGAAAUCCCAUGGCCUAACCAAGGGUCUGCCUCGGAUACGGUGGCACUUGAGUGCGUGAGGGGUGAUCGGAACGCGUGGUGUAGCGGUGAAAUGCGUAGAUAUCACGCGGAAGGCCAACGGCGAAGGCAGAUCACUGGUGCGCAACUGACGCUGAGUGCACGAAAGCGUGGGGAGCAAACAGGAUUAGAUACCCCCGUAGUCC
rnacentral:rRNA from 1 species